rnacentral:rRNA from 1 species
GUUGCGGUUAAAAAGCUCGUAGUUGGAUUUCUGUUGAGGAUGACCGGUCCGCUCUUUGAGCGCGUAUCUGGUUCAGCCUUGGCAUCCUCUUGGGGAACGCUACUGUGCUUGAUUGCAUGGGGCGGUAUUCAAGACUUUUACUUUGAGGAAAUUAGAGUGUUCGCUGCAAGCGUUAGCAAUUGAAUACAUUAGCAUGGAAUAAUAAUAUAGGACCUUGGUACUAUUUUGUUGGUUUCUAGAACUAAGGUAAUGAUUAAUAGGGACAAUUGGGGGCAUUCGUAUUAACGCGUCAGAGGUGGAAUUCUUAGAUUGCGUUACGACGAACUACUGCGAAAGCAUUUGCCAAGGAUGUUUUCAUUGAUCAAGAACGAAAGUAUGGGGAUCG